GAUUUCUGGUAGAUCAUUCUGGCCCGCGUCUUUCGGGACGUGAGAGCUGGCGUGUUUUUACCAUCCUUCUAGAGUGCUAUGUCUACUCUUUACUGAGCUGGGCAUAUGUGUUCUAGAUCGUUUACUUUGAAAAAAUUAGAGUGUUUAAAGCAGGCUUACGCUGUGAAUACAUUAGCAUGGAAUAAUGAUAUAGGACUUCGGUCUUAUUUUGUUGGUUUCUGGGGCUGAAGUAAUGAUUGAUAGGGAUAGUUGGGGGUGCUAGUAUUCCGUGGCCAGAGGUGAAAUUCUUGGAUUCACGGAAGACUAACUACUGCGAAAGCAUU
rnacentral:rRNA from 1 species